rnacentral:tRNA from 1 species
GAGGGUAUAGCUCAGCAGUAGAGCACAUGCAUAACAUGGACAAUGGGUUCAAUCCCCAGUACCUCCA